AUGUACAUUCCUACAACAUAGUGUUAAUUCAUUGGAUCCCAUUAGAACUCCACAGUUAAGUGCGGUUAGGCUAGAGUAGUACUGUGAUGGGUGAGUGCCCGAGAAGUCCUAGUGUUUUACAUG
rnacentral:rRNA from 1 species